GGCUGGAAGUGGCCGUCCCGGUGGCCGGGGCUCCCUUCCCCGGUCGAGCGCUCGUACCCGCGGGGGCGGGAUGGUAACCCGUUUCCGGCCG
rnacentral:tRNA from 1 species